UUUGCACCCAAACCCAAAGGCCAUACCAUUCCAGUGGUAUGAUUUUGUCUGGUGUGCGAACAGAAAACGAUCCUUGUCGCCUUUCUCUGAAGCUGCAGUGCCGUUGAAAGUGAAUUCAAGGGUCAACAAAU